rnacentral:miRNA from 1 species
AUGUGUACUAUAGAAGUCAAGGGU